GACGAACGCUGGCGGCGUGCUUAACACAUGCAAGUCGAACGAUGAAGCCGGAGCUUGCUCUGGUGAAUUAGUGGCGAACGGGUGAGUAACACGUGAGUAACCUGCCCUUGACUCUGGGAUAACUGCGGGAAACUGUAGCUAAUACCGGAUACUUUCACCGGAAGGCAUCUUCUGGUGAUGAAAGAAUUUCGGUCAGGGAUGAGCUCGCGGCCUAUCAGCUUGUUGGUGAGGUAACGGCUCACCAAGGCGACGACGGGUAACCGGCCUGAGAGGGUGACCGGUCACACUGGGACUGAGACACUGCCCAGACUCCUACGGGAGGCAGCAGUGGGGAAUAUUGCACAAUGGGCGCAAGCCUGAUGCAGCAACGCCGCGUGAGGGAUGAAGGCCUUCGGGUUGUAAACCUCUUUUAGUAGGGAAGAAGCGAAAGUGACGGUACCUGCAGAAAAAGCACCGGCUAACUACGUGCCAGCAGCCGCCGUAA
rnacentral:rRNA from 1 species